rnacentral:rRNA from 1 species
ACGGAGGGUGCAAGCGUUAUCCGGAUUUAUUGGGUUUAAAGGGUGCGCAGGCGGGACUAUAAGUCAGCGGUGAAAGCCUACAGCUUAACUGUAGAAUUGCCAUUGAUACUGUAGCCCUUGAGUGCAGGUGAAGAGGGCGGAAUGUGUUGUGUAGCGGUGAAAUGCUUAGAUAUAACACAGAACACCGAUUGCGAAGGCAGCUCUCUAAACUGCAACUGACGCUCAGGCACGAAAGCGUGGGGAUCAAACAG